rnacentral:rRNA from 1 species
UUGGAGGGCAAGUCUGGUGCCAGCAGCCGCGGUAAUUCCAGCUCCAAUAGCGUAUAUUAACGUUGUUGCAGUUAAAAAGCUCGUAGUUGAAAUGAAGGGUAGUUGUGUAAUGAAUACAUUCGUGUAUUUUGUUAUUCAAGUACCCUCCUUCUAAAUUCGAUAUAUGAGUAUUAAUUUACUUGUAUAUGGUUUUAGACAUUUACUGUGAGAAAAUUAGAGUGUUCAAAGCAGGCAUUUGCUUGAAUAUAUUAGCAUGGAAUAAUCAUGUAUGAUUUUCAUGAUGUAUUUGAUUGGUUUGGUUGAUGAGAAUAAGAUUAAAAGGGACAGUUGGGGGUAUUCAUAUUCAAUAGUCAGAGGUGAAAUUCUCGGAUUUAUGGAAGAUGAACAAGUG